ACGGGAGGCAGCAGUGAGGAAUAUUGGUCAAUGGAGGCAACUCUGAACCAGCCAUCUCGCGUGAAGGAAUACGGCCCUACGGGUCUUAAACUUCUUUUAUAGGGGGAUAAAGUGAGCCACGUGUGGCUUUUUGUAGGUACCCUAUGAAUAAGCAUCGGCUAACUCCGUGCCAGCAGCCGCGGUAAUACGGAGGAUGCGAGCGUUAUCCGGAUUUAUUGGGUUUAAAGGGUGCGCAGGCGGAUCGGUAAGUCAGGGGUGAAAAGUUGGGGCUCAACUCCAAUCGUGCCUUUGAUACUGCCGGACUAGAGUGCGAUAGACGUGGCCGGAAUGUGAUGUGUAGCGGUGAAAUGCUUAGAUAUGUCACAGAACACCGAUCGAGAAGUCAGGUCACGAGCUCGCAACUGACGCUCAGGCACGAAAGCGUGGGGAUCAAACAGGAUUAGAUACCCUGGUA
rnacentral:rRNA from 1 species